UGCGGUUAAACAAUUUGUACUUUUAUUUUUUUUCCUUUUUCAAUUAAUAUUUAUUUAUUUUAAAUUUUAAAAAUUUUAGGUGAAAUUAAAUUUUUAUUUUAUUUAGAUUUAUGUUUAUGAGGUUGAGAAAUCUAGACUGUUAAACUGGGAUUAGAUACCCCAUUAUUCUAGAUGUUAAGUUAAAAAAUUGGUGAUUAAUAGUUAUGUUCUUAAAAAUUAAAGAAUUUGGCGGUUUUUUAUUCCGAUCAGGGGAAUCUGUCCUAUAAUCGAUAAUUCACGAUUAAUUUUACUUAAAAUUUAUUUGUAUAUCGUCGUUAAAAAUUAUUUUUGAAAAAUUAUAAUUAAAAAAUUUUAUUUUAUUUUAAUUCAGAUCAAGGUGCAGUUUUUUUAAGAAGUGAUGGAUUACAAUAAAUUUAUUUAAGGAUAAUAUUUAGAAUUAAAUAUUUGAAUUUGGAUUUGAAAGUAAUUUUGGUUUUUAACUAAUUUGAAUAAGGCUCUAAAAUAUGU
rnacentral:rRNA from 1 species